UGCCACAGGAUUGAGCUUGUAGAAGUAUCUGCGUAAGCUACAGAGAAAAAAUCUAAUUUAUUUACACUGAAGUCAGGUCUCUCUAAAAAGACUGGAGGAAUAUUCACACUCUACUCUCUCAGAGACACUUUGAGGCUUCAUUCAGUGUAAGCCAGGAAGAUGCUUAUAUGAAAUGGGUUUUCUUCUACAACAACGUGUCCUGUCUGCUUGCUGGAAAUCAGUGAAUUCCUCAAAUCGUGCCAAUCAGCCAUCGUGGUAUGAGCUUUGCUUUUCUACUCUCACUGCAGAAUCUGAGGAUGCCACAGCUGGAUUCUAGUAAGUCUUGUGUGCUAUAUCUGGUCAUCACCUCAUUUUCUGACCAUUUGAUUUUUUUUUUUUCAGGUGACUUUUUUUUUCCUGUCUGAAGCAGAAGGAAUAUAGCCAACUUAUCCUGAUUUCAAAUUGUUUAUAGUCCUGGCUGCUGGGAAAAAAUCACCGUCAGAUGUGUGCAUUGCCUUUGGAAAAAGCUAAGAAGGGCUUCACAGACCCAUGGACAGUCCAUGUAAUAGAUGUCAUGGAUACACCUGCAGGAGAAAACCUCCACCUAGUAUCUUGUGAUAUAGAUCUGUAUCCUUUUCAUCAUGGAAGACAUCAUUCUGUGAGAACAGGAACAGAAAGUAAAGAGAAUGAAGUGGGACAGGAGACAGACGCCCCGAGGUACUCUGAAAACUCCAGAGACUGUAAGAGCAUCCGAUGAAUCCAAGUUAAAGUGCAUUAAUAAAUACUGCUUCCCUCAAA